rnacentral:lncRNA from 1 species
UUUAGACUUUGAAAUGUAAAUAUGUAAUAGCAAAGUAUAUAGAUUUAUUGGGAAACUAUGAAAUAGGUGAAAUUUUUAGGUUAUUUUCUUUUGUGAUGGAUUAACUGUACAUGAAUGCUGUUUUUGAGUUUAUUCCAAUAAAUUUGGGAAUUGGGUUUCAAAAAAGUUUCUGUUUUGAUUUUUUUGGUUGGAUCAUUCACGGAUUUGGACUUUGAAGUGAUUUACCUGUGAAUGGGUAUUUAAAUUUUUGAUUUUUUGUUUGGUUCGGUUCAGAUCCGUGUUAAAUGUUUAUCCCAGCAGUGUUUAUAUGUUAAGAUUUGGCUAGAAUGAAGUUUUCUAACAUCAAUAUGUGAAUUUGUUACUGGGUUUUCAUCAAAUUUUGGAAGUAUGGUAUCUACUAUUGGGUUAAUUGAUGAUAAGAGAAAGGGAUUCGUUUUUUUGUCUUGAUGUAAACUAAAUUCUGAUGAUUAGGGAUAAUUGGGUAAACUUUGAUGUGGUUCCUAUGUUGGCGGAUAUGAACAAAUCGCAAUUCCAAAUGCCUAGUGUUUUUUUAAUAGCUGCUAUAGUGUAGGCGGAUAUGAACAAAUCGCAAUUGUUCUGCGAUACACAAUUUAGUAUUAAGUGAUGUCAAAUAGCAUCUAUAGCGGCGUUAUAGCACUGUAGUGUAGUGGAAUUUGAACAAAUCGCAAUUUUCUGCAUUUGGAAACACUUCAAAUGGCUUAGUCGGUAGUUAUUGCUGAAAUUGUAACUAGGAAGUGGGAACUAAUAAUAGAAAAGUGUUGAUUGUGGAAAAUUGCUCUUUUAUGAAUGGCUUGUGAAAUCGAACAAGUUGUUAAGCUUUGGCUAUAAUGAAGUUUUCUAACAUCAAUAUGUGAAUUUGUUACUGGGUUUUCAUCAAGUUUUAAAAACAAAGCAUAUACCGUUGGGAUAAUUGAUGAUAAGAACUUUGCCUUGGUACUGGUACCUAUAUUGAAGAUCUGUGUUUAAUUUUGACUUUGAUUGUCAAAUGCCUAAUGUUGACGAAUAGCGGCUAUAGCGUAGGCGAAUUUGGACAAAUCGCAAUUGUUCUGCGAUACACCAUUUAGUAUAAAGUGAUGUCAAAUAGCAGCUAUAAUGGAGUUAUAGCAGUUUAGUGUAGCGGAAUUCGAACAAACCUCUAUUUCUGUGAUUGAUAACUCUUCAAAUGGCUUAAUCUGUAGUUAUUGCUGAAAUUGUAACCAGGAAG